rnacentral:lncRNA from 1 species
CAAAGGUAACAUUACUAAUCUGGCAAAUUUCAAUUUGAAAAUGGAACGUUCUAUAUUUGACCCUGUAACUUUCCAAAACACCAUAAAACCUGGUAAUGGGGGUACUGUUGUACUCGUGAGACAUCGCUGAUUACAAAUAUGUGCAUUUUUUUGCAGUAAAACCUAACAGUGUUAUGACAUUUACAACUAAAAUGUGAGGCGGAACUAAAAAAAUCCUCCACAGAACCUCUCGAAUCAGUACCAAAAAGGCUUGAUCUUGGGGCAGUCCCACCAAAGAUGGAGAAAUGUGCCUGGGCGGGUGUGACACCUCCAACAUUCAUCAUUUAGUGUGGAGUCUAUGCGUUGCACGUUUUGUGGCAUCCAAUACCACAUGCACAAGUCCUUGUAUGCUGUCUUUUGUGUUUUACUGCUAUCAUGUUAGAUAACCGUUGUGUCUUACUGCGGAGAUCUUGCAAACAGGCAAUAUAGGAUUUGGUUCUUAUUUUGUUCAGGAUCCAAGCAAGUUUACCGUAUUUGUUGCUGUUAACAUAAAAUAAUGCCUUGGUAUGCUGUAGAGAGCGUUGGAGGUGGUGAAGAAGAGUGGCUCUUCAAUUCCACAAGUUCUUUGAAUGUGGACAGGUCUUGAUCAGAUUUGUGCUUCAGGUCUAGUGCAUGUAUCUGUCCCAGGAGGGCGAGAAUGUCAGCUUCCCUAUAUUUCUUCAGGGCAGGGCAAAGAUGAGUGGGUCAGUGAGGAUUGUCUUGUUAAGUCUCCAGUUAGUCAUCCAAAGUUUGAAAAGAGGGGAGGACACGGUCAUGUUCAGUCCAAGUCAUCACCCCUAUGUUUACUCUGGUAUCCUGAGAGAGGUAACAGUAUGGUACAAAAAAAGUAGUCAAGUCUUGAGUACUUAUCAUGAGGGAUAGAGUAAUGCGUGUACUCUCUGGUGGCAAGAUGAAAAGACUUCCAGCAGUCGGUAAGUAUGUAGUAGGCCCUUAACUCCUCAAAAGAUCAGUGCGGGAAUCCCCGAAGUGCCCGUUGAUGUGUCAAUGUGGGGGCACAUGAUGUUAAAGUCCCCUCCCAAGAUUAGAAAACCCACUGUGAACAACAUCAGCCAUUUAAUUGCGUGCUGUAGUAACUGCCUUUGUCUUGGGGGCAUAAAUAUUGGCAAAUGUGUAACUCUAGCCCAAAAUGAUCCCCUUACAAAUAUAACGACCUUCCUUGUCUACUAGUGUUUCUUUGUGUUAGAAUAGGAUUGAUUUGUCAAUAAGGAUUGCUGUCCCAUGAAAUUUACUCAGUAUUGUUCCUAUUAAAACCCUGUUGGUAAAUAUGAUUGGUCAGUUUCAGGGCAGUUGUUUUUCUAAAGUGGGUUUCUUGUACAUAAACAACAUGCACAUUCUUAGAUUUAAAAUCCCUAAGAACUUUUAUGGGAAGCUCCCACCCUACCUGAGCAGAAUGCUCUCCCUGGCCGUUCACACCUCCUAUAACCUCCGAUCCAGUACCAGCACUUUAUUUAGUCUACCUCAAUACAAAAAGAAAGUAGCCCGAUCCUCCUUUUUCCUAUAGAGCACCGCAAUUAUGGAACGACCUCCUGCACACUUUCAAAUCUUCCCCCAGGCCUAAAGUCCUUUAUCCCUCUUUACAUACCUCAAAACAGAAUGCACGUCAUGGUUGAUUAUAUAUUUCCUACCUGUUCUAUGUUACAUUUUGGAUAUAUUGUAUAUUAAUAUUGUUUUUGUAUUUUAUUGUACCCUAUUGUAGCAAUGCAAUGUUUUGCAGACCCAGAACAUACUUGAAAACUAGAGAAAUCUCAAUGUAUCUUUCCUGGUAAAAAAAUUUUAUAAAUAAAAAAUAAAGUUCUCUCUUCUCAGAGGUAUUGAGUCCUCUGACAGUAUUGUCAGAUCGGGUGGGGAAAAUGUGUUGUUCCCGUCGCCCAUCAUCCCCCGUGACAAGAACAGGCACAGGCUAACAUACCUUAAAAAGGUCCUGGAUUACCAGUCUCCCCUUUAUACCUAUACCAAGCAGAGAGCAGUCUAGGCUCUAGGGUGUAAUGUAGCGGUAGGAUGGAACAGGUGAAAAAAAUUGAAAUCACAAAGCAGACACAGCAAAUAAACAAUAGAAUAACAAUAAUGCCAAAUAUUAUUAUUAAUAUAUUUUUCAAUAACAAUACAGAAAAGAUAACUAUAACAAACAAGGGAAAUACAAUGAAUGUACAUCAUCCAAUACUACAUCUUAAAUGUAUAUUAAAUCAGUACCGUAAUCAUAAAAUAUAGCAGUUGUAAAAUUAAAAUAUCUCAUGUGUCUUAAGAAGUUGUGUCUACAUUAAAAAAUAUACACACACACACAAUGAUAUUUAUGAUAUAUAUAUAUAUAUAUAUGAUGGUCUACUGCGUCACUGGGCAUGAAAGCACGCCUCCCAACUGUCCUGCUUUUGGCUGGACACCAAGGAACUGUCCCCGUGCAGCAGCAAAUCAUUAGUACUUGUGCUGUGUAGCAGCAUUAGGACCAUGCAGGGAGCGCUUUAUCUGCGCUCUCUUUACGGUCCUGAUUGAAGGGGGCUUGCCAGGCUGCUUGUCGGAUGGCACACCCUACCCAUUUUCAGGUUGGCCAGUCCUCUUGUUGAACAAGACCAACCCUUACUUACACAGUCCACCCCACUGUGGGCAUUAUAGCAUGUAUCCCUGGCGAGCCCCCACAAAACUCCACCCACACAUUCCAAAGUUGGGAGGCAUUCGACAUCAUGGGGUCCAUAAGUGGUUAAUAAACAAAUUGGUCAAUAAAGGAUUAACCUUUGUUUGUAAAACUUAGUCUUGGCUUUAUUUUACUCUUCACCUGGAAAGAACCUAUCAUUUUGGAUUCACACCACACAGUUGUUUUUGCAGAACUGUGCAGAGGAAUAUAAAUUCAAUGUAAAAUAAAAAAAGAUGAAUCUGCUCUGACCGCCCUGAUCUUCUGUUAGCGGGAGAAAAGUCCUUGCAUUCAUUUUUUUUCCUGUCCGCAUAUGCUUAAAGGAACACUACAGGAUCAGGAACAAACAUGUAUUCCUGACCCUAUAGUGUUUAUCCCACCAUUUAGGUGGCUUGCCCCCACACAAGUUUUUAAAACUGACUAUUUCCAGCGCCGUGCGGGUCAGCUGGCACUGGCCCUGCCCCCUUUGUGACAUCAUCAAAAUGGCCAAUUUUUGGCGAUGGGAAAGCAUUAGAUUGGCUAAAAUCAGCACGGGAGCGGGGCCAAAUGCUUUUUUUGACCAAUCAGGACUUCCUCAAAGAGAUGCAUUGAAUCAAUGCAUUGUAAAGCACUGCACAAUUUGUUGGUGCUAUAUAAAUAAUAACAUAAUAAUGCAUCUAUGAGUAAAAUUCUGUGCCUGCAUGCAGAGCGCAGGGAUGCCGAACGUCAGGGCUGUUUUUUCAGCACCACCUCCAGUGGCCAUUUGGAGGUGUUCCUAGAGGCAAUGUAAACACUACCUUUACAUAAAAAAUGCCUGAAGUGAGCUAUUCUACUCACCAGAACAACUAUAUUAAGCUGUUCUGGUGAAUAUAGUGUCCCCUUAAUUAUUUAAAACCCCCUUCCCAAGCAUUGAAGUAUACCCUAGAAAAUAAAUAGCUAGAAUAGUAGAUAAAAUGAGAAAGAGGCUGGCUGGCUGUAACCCCGUGCUAUCACCGUGCAGGAGGCUGGCUGGCUGGCUGUAACCCCGUGCUAUCACCGUGCAGGAGGCUGGCUGUAACCCCGUGCAGGAGGCUGGCUGGCUGUAACCCCGUGCUAUCACGGUGCUGGAGGCUGGCUGUAACCCCGUGCUAUCACCGUGCAGGAGGCUGGCUGGCUGUAACCCAGUGCUAUCACCGUGCAGGAGGCUGGCUGUAACCCCGUGCUAUCACGGUGCAGGAGGCUGGCUGUAACCCCGUGCUAUCACGGUGCAGGAGGCUGGCUGUAACCCCGUGCUAUCACGGUGCAGGAGGCUGGCUGGCUGUAACCCCGUGCUAUCACGGUGCAGGAGGCUGGCUGUAACCCCGUGCUAUCACCGUGCAGGAGGCUGGCUGGCUGUAACUCCGCAAGCACACGUGUGCAGGAGGGGCUGGCUGGUUGUAACCCCCUAAGCACGGUGCAGGAGGCUGGCUGUAACCCCGCAUAUCACCGCGGCAGGAGGUUGGCUGGCUGUAACCCCCGCACACCGCAGGUUGGCUGUAACCCCGUAUAUCACGCAGAGGUUGGUUAUUGUAACCCUUCGCUAUCACGGUGCAGGAGGCCGGCUUCGUAACCCGCUAUCACCGCAGGAGGUUGGCUGUAACCCGCAAGCACGCAGGAGGCUGGCUGUAACCUCGCGGCACACGGGGUGCAGGAGGUUUGUUUGCCAAACCGCGCUAAUGCAGGAGGCUGGCUGGCUGGCUGUAACCCCGUGCUAUCACCGUGCAGGAGGCUGGCUGUAACCCCGUGCAGGAGGCUGGCUGGCUGUAACCCCGUGCUAUCACGGUGCUGGAGGCUGGCUGUAACCCCGUGCUAUCACCGUGCAGGAGGCUGGCUGGCUGUAACCCAGUGCUAUCACCGUGCAGGAGGCUGGCUGUAACCCCGUGCUAUCACGGUGCAGGAGGCUGGCUGUAACCCCGUGCUAUCACGGUGCAGGAGGCUGGCUGUAACCCCGUGCUAUCACCGUGCAGGAGGCUGGCUGGCUGUAACUCCGUGCUAUCACCGUGCAGNNNNNNNNNNNNNNNNNNNNNNNNNNNNNNNNNNNNNNNNNNNNNNNNNNNNNNNNNNNNNNNNNNNNNNNNNNNNNNNNNNNNNNNNNNNNNNNNNNNNCACAUAUUUAUUGACAGAGACACAGUCAGCGACAGACAUACAUACACACUCACUUACAAAACAUACACUCUCAUUGACAAACACACACUCACUAACAGACAUCAAACAGACUCACUAACACACACACACUCACUGACACUCACUAGCAGACACACACACUAACACUCACUCUAACACUCACACACACUAACACUCACUAGCAGACACAUACACUAACACUCACACUAACACUCACACACACUCUAACACUAGUUUUUUUUAAAUAUAAUCCCCCCAGCCUCCUUACCUUUUGGAGUGCUGGGGGGAUUCCCUGGGGUCCAGUGGUGGUGCUGGACUCCUGGGCGGGUGGCCGGUCGGGCAGGCAGGCGGGCGCGCGAGGGAGCACUCAGUGCUUCCUCUUCAGCUCCCUCGCGCGCCGCGUAGGGAUGCCGGCGCCGGAAGAUGAUGUCAUCUUCCGGCUCUGGUAUCAGUGGAGGGAGCUGAAGAGGAAGCACUGAGUGCUACCUCGCGCGCCCGCCUGCCUGCCCGCCGGGGUCAGCAGGGCCAGCCUCGGGGGGCCCUGGGGUGGUCGGCUCCUGGCCCCCCCAGGGGUAGAGGCUGGCCCUGUGGCUACAUACCGCGACCCCUGCGACCCUGGUAUGUACGCCACUGCGUUUUGCUGUAAACACUGUCUUUUCUGAGAAAAUGCAGUGUUUACAUUACAGCCUAGUGAUAACUUCAGUGGCCACUCCUCAGAUAGCUGUUAGAGAUCCUUCCUGGGUCAUGGCUGAAAUAAAUGCAUCCAAACAUUCAGUAUCUCCUCUCUCUGCAUGCAGGCACUGAACUUUCCUCAUAGAGAUUCAUUGAUUCUAUUCAUCUCUAUGAGGAGAUGCUGAUUGGCCAGGGCUGUGUUUGAAUCAUGCUGGCUCUGCCCCUGAUCUGCCUCCUUGUCAGUCUUAGCCAAUCCUAUGGGGAAGCAUUGUGAUUGGAUCAGGCUACCACGUCUGAUGAUGUCAGCAGACUGCUUGUCUUUUUGAGGAAAACAGCAUGCAGAUCUACAGCUUCAGGCUUGAAUACAGUACGAUAUUGCUAUAUUUAUGGUGGCAUGAAGUGCCCAGGGGGGGUUAGAUGGUGUUUUUAUACAUGUUUGUGUUCAUACAUGUUUGUGUUCCUGACCCUAUGGUGAUCCUUUAAAUGUUUCUAUCAUACACCCCCCCCGUCUCGUCUUUCCUCCAAGCUAUACAUAUUAAGUUCCUUUAGCCUUUCCUGGUAUGUUUAAUCAUGCAAUCCAUGAACCAGUUUAGUAGCCCUUCUCUGAACCCUCUCUAAAGUAUCAAUAUCCUUCUGGAGAUACAGUCUCCAGUACUGCGUACAAUACUCCAAGUGAGGUCUCACUAGUGUUCUGUACAAUGGCAUGAGCACUUCCCUCUUUCUACUGCUAAUACCUCUCCCUAUACAACCAAGCAUUCUGCUAGCAUUUCCAUCAAAUCAAUAUCCUAUACUCUGCCCUUAGGUUUUUACGUCCAAGAUGCAUUAUCUUGCACUUAUCCACAUUAAAUGUCAGUUGCCACAACUCUGACCAUUUUUCUAGUUUACCUAAAUCAUUUUCCAUUUGGCUUAUCCCUCCUGGAACAUCAACCCUGUUACAUAUCUUAGGAUCAUCAGCAAAAAGACAUACCUUACCAUCAAGACCUUCUGCAAUAUCACUAAUAAAAAUAUUAAAGAGAAUGGGUCCAAGUACAGAUCCCUGAGGUACCCCACUGGUCCAAGCUUCGAAUAUAUUCCAUUGACUACAACCCUCUGUUGCCUGUCAUUCCGCCACUGCCUUACCCAUUCAACAAUAUUGGAAUCCAAACUUAAAGAUUGCGGUUUAUUGAUAAGCCUUCUAUAUACAACAGUGUCAAAAUCCUUACUGAAAUCUAGGUAAGCAAUGUCUACUGCACCACCCUGAUCUAUUAUUUUAGUUACCCAAUCAAAUAAAUCUAUGAAAAUGGGGUGGGGGGGGGACCUAUUGUCCUCCCCUCUGGCCCCCACACAUGAGCGGCAUGUGGGGGCUCUAAAAGACAACGGGGGUAAACUAUUGUCCCUCCCCAAGCCCCCACCCAUGAGUGAUGGGUGGGGGCCCUAAAUGAAAAUGGGGGGACCUAUUGCCCUGGCCCCCACCCACGGGCAACAGGUGGGGGGCCCUUAAUGACAAUAGGGGGAGAACCUAUUGUCCUCCCCCCCAGCCCCCACCCAUGAGCGGCGGGUGGGGGCCCUAAAUGAAAAUGGGGGGGACCUAUUGUCCUAUUGUCCCUGGCCCCCACCCAUGAGCAGUGGGUGGGGACCCUAAAAGACUAUGGGGGCAACCUAUUGUCCUCCCCCCCGGCCCCCAACCAUGGGCGACAGGUGGGGCCUAAAUGUAAAAAUACCCCCCCAGGUGACUUGGGGUCCCCAAGCCCCUGGUCACCACCAACCUAAAAUAAAUUAAAUACUUUUAAAAAAACACUUACCAUUUGAUGUCUUUUUUUUUUUUCUAAAACGUUAUUUUUUCAGCCCCAUAAAAGGCCAAACAAAAAUCCAUAAUACCUGUCGAACGUAUAAAAAAAAAAAAAAUCUUUACCCAGCAAGGGCACUGCGCAGACUAAGAACCACAGGGCAUGGGUAGGCUUAUAAAGCCUUCCCACGCCCUGCAAUUUGACUCCGAGCGCUCUGAUUGGUUGGUUUAAGCCAAUCAAUAAGAGUGCUCUGAUAGGUAAAUAGUGAGCCUUACAGGUAACCAAUCAGGUACGGCUCACUAUUUACCUAUCAGAGCACUCUUUUUGGUUGGCUUGCCUUAAACCAACCAAUCAGAGCGCUCUGAGUAAAAUUGCAGGGCGUGGAAAGGCUUUAUUAGGGCUUUAUUUAAUUUUUUCGGUGGUAGGGGGUGACUAGGGGCUCGGGGUCCCCUAGUCACCUGGUGGGCUUAUUUUUACAUUUAGCCCCCACCCACCCAUCGGUGGGGCCAGGGGAGGACAAUAGGUCCCCCCAUUGUCAUCUAGGGCCACCACCUGUUGCCCAUGGGUCCCCCUCAUUAUCUUUUAGGGCCCCACCCGCUGCUCAUGGAUGGGGACAGGGGGAGGACAAUAGUUCCACCCCAUUCUCAUUUAGGGCCCCCACCUGCCGCACAUGGUUGGGGGCCAUUGGGCACCCUAUGUCCCCCGUUUAGUUGCGAAGCCCCCACUCGCAGGGUACAGGUAGGGUUUCGGGGGGACGCCACUAUGUCCCCCCACUAGUUAAUUGAUGCCCCACCAUGGGGCCAUUUGUUGGAAGCGGAGGGGAAGCGCUUUUUUUUUUUAAACACUGUUUAGUAGACAUGCCCCUACUCUCAGGAAUGCAUGUGAAUUUCACUGCACUAUCUAGUAUGGGCAGAUGAUGUGUCCCACAGGGACUUCAUCUUCCCACACAAAGAUGGCUGUGCCCAGGACCUAGGUCCAGGCACAAAAUGAAGAUUAAAAAAUAGGUAAUAUGGGGCUUAGAGGCACCACUACUUGUACAUGAAAUAAAACAUAAAUAAUAAUAAUAAUAGUGCAACCCUUUUAGAUAUAAACAAAACAAUGUAAUAGAACAAUGUACUAUAGUGUUACUCUCACGCACAUCACCAGAGCCAUCAAUUGGAGUUAAACGUGUUCGUUGUAUAAGGAAUAAUGCCUUUAUUCACAUAUUGGCAAAGUGAUAAAACAUAAAUAAAACCAAAAUCAUUCAUGCUUACAAGAUAUGAUGGUGAGUAUAUGCGGAUUUGAUUAAUCUACCCACAGAAGCACUCAGUCAAUUUAGUGCUCUGUUUACCUUCAGGGUUCAUCCAAAGUCCUCUGCCGCUCUGUAGCCUUAUGCAUUGCUCCUUGCCAUUAGUUCUAGGGCUUUCAUGCCAGGUACGAAGCCUGCGGAUUCCGCCAAAAUGUUUAUGAGUAGUUUGAGGUAUCGUGUAUGAUACCUAUGAAUGUGGGCUGUGUAUGGUGGCUGCUUGUGGAAUUGUGUGUGGAUGGAUAUGUCACAUAUUGUGUUUUGUAGUGUGUGUAUGUGUGGGGCUGUUUUGGUUGUAUGCAUGUAUGUAGAUUGUUAGUGGUGUUGCGUUUGUGCGGGUUUUGUGUCUGGGCUUUUCGAAUUGUUUGUAUGAGGGGAGGGUUAUUCUGCAUUUCUACGUAUAUGUAGCAGUGUAGGUGGCUUCCCUGGGAUCCAGUGGGACCAGGCUGGCCAGGUACAGGUCAAGGCCAGGAGCUGCAACAGCAGCUGUGAGCUUCUCUACUCCAGUGUGGAUUCCCAUUCACAAGUGCUGGAAUUAAGUGAUCUGAGAUCACUACCUCUAUGUGCUGCAAUGCAUAAAUUGAGGAUUGUCCUUCACCACCUUAUCGUAUUAGCAGAUAUCAGAAGUUUCACUCCUGAUAAGACAGAGAGGCCUGUUUGGCUCUGGCAGCCUUGAGUGCCGUGCAAAGACGCCUCAAGUGCCAUAGGUUGCCUACCCAUGUUACAGUACAUUGUUUUGUUGAUAUCUCAAAGGGUUGCACUAUUAUUAUUUUUUAUUUUAUGUGCAUACCUGAUUGUAUCCAACUGUUGAUAGUGACAUCUGCUGGAUACCAGUAUAUUUAAAUAAAUUUUAUCUGGUGUGGGAGAUCUACACACAUUAUUACUGCUACCACUUUUUUUUAAAACUUUUUUUGUUUUACUGUUUGUGUUGUGUAUUGGGGUACUACACCUAAGUGUGAAGCAGUUGUUGUAUUGCAUAUUGCAUUGAACACUUUUCAAUAUACGUUUUAGAGAUAUUUUAUUUCAGUUUAUUUUAUCUGUGAUUCAGAAAGUAUGAUUUUUAUCCCCUUUUUUCCAUGCCUGGAUGUUUUAGCGCUCCUUGUAUUUGCUAAUUUGGAUUUUACUAGUUUGAAAGUAUUUAGCGUUUAUACAGAUGCACUUUAGAUGCUUCUGAUGUCUCCCAAGUUUCCUGGCAGUGUAGUUCUCCAAUCAGAGUGCAGAAAUGCAUGCCAGCAAAUCCUCCACCCACAUAAUGCCGUGGAGUAUCAGGACAGACCCAAAAGUCCAAAAUGUGGUAAUCGUUCUAAGCCUACGCGUUUCGCAGAUCAGUGCCUACAGGCCUCAGCGCUAUAAAACGGUUACCACAUAUUUAAAGGCCUACAAAUCAACUCCUUAAUGGAUCAAUCAUCCUCCCCCUUGCCUACUGCUAUAAAAUCACUACUGCAAUUUAGUAAAUUCCAAAUAUAAUAUAUAUAUGAAUAUAUUUGUUACAUGUUAAUGACAAGUGUUUAGAAUCAACAGUUUGAAAACACAUACGUUGUAUCUACUGAGUAGUCUAUAAUCCACAUUCAAUUUGAUAAAUGCAAUAGGGAUUUUAAAAUUGAAACUUUUAUUAAUUGUAAUUCCACCUCUGUGUUUUAAUAGCAGUAAGAAAGCGAGAGGGUGAUUGACUCAUUAAGGAGAUAAUUUGUAUGCCUUCAGAUAUGUAGUAAUCAAUCUAUAGCCUUAGGGAAGCAGACGCAGACCAACGAAACAGGUAGGCUUAGAACGAUUACCACAUUUAAUGGAGAGCAACACUGUACUGCUCAACAGUAUAUAAAAGUUAUAUCUAUGAAUAAGUCUGGGCUGAGGCUAUCAGAGCCACAAAGGUUUCAUUCAUACAGAAACGAGAAGCACCAAGCUGAAGAAGUUAUGAAUUAAUCUUGCUAACCACACAUUAUUUCCUUUAGCUGAGAGAACAAAUCCAUGUCCAAAUCAAUGCCAAGCUAUACAAUGCAGAAUAGACCACUACGGUAUAACUAAAAUGUACUUUAACUUAAAGGACCACUAUAGUGCCAGGAAAACAUACUCGUUUUCCUGGCACUAUAGUUCCCUGAGGGUGCCCCCACCCUCAGGGUCCCCCUCCCGCCCGGCUCUGGAAGGGGGAAAGGGGUAAUAACUUACCUUUUUCCAGCGCUGGGCGGAGAGCUCUCCUCCUCCCUCCUCCGUUAUGCCCUACCGCUGAAUGCGCACGCUGGGCAAGAAAGCUGCGCUGCCAAGAUCUGCGGAAAUCUCAUAGAAAGCAUUUACAAUGCUUUCCUAUGGAUGCUGGUGCUCUCACUGUGAUUUUCACAGUGAGAAGCACGCAAGCGCCUCUAGUGGCUGUCAAUGAGACAGCCACUAGAGGAUUAGGGGGAAGGCUUAACCCAUUCAUAAUUAUAGCAGUUUCUCUGAAACUGCUAUAAUUAUGAAAAAAAUGGGUUAACCCUAGAAGGACCUGGCACCCAGACCACUUCAUUAAGCUGAAGUGGUCUGGGUGCCUAGAGUGGUCCUUUAAUGAUUGAGUUUUGGUGUAUAGAUCAUGGUUCUGCAGUCUCACAGCACAAUGUUCUACAAUUUGGGAGUUAAAUCACUUUGUUUAUGCAGCCCUAGUCACACCUCCCUGCAUGCGACUUGAACAGCCUUAAUUUAGAUUUAAUGUUUAAACUUUCUUUAUUGCGCAUUCAGUUUAAUUUAGAAUUUUUUGUCUCCUGCUCUGUUAAUAGUCUUCUAGACUCUGCUCUAAGCUCCUAUGUGUGAUUAAAGCUACAUUUUCAGAGCAGAAUACAAAAACCUCUAAAGUAAGUUAAGAGCUGAUUGAAAAUCCAACCAUUUUGAUUGACCAUGUAGAUUGUGUGAGUCACAGGAGGUGUGGGGUGGCUAGGGCUGCAUAAACAGAAACAAAACUGAAGUUUGGUCCUUAAGGGGAUAAAUAGCAGAUAAUUAUGCUGUGAGACUGCAUGGGCCUAAUCUAUACUUAAAACUUGUUUUAAUGCCUAUAGUAUUCCCUUAUAUGUCUGCAAGAGAAACAGUGACUGCUAAUAACCGGGCAAUUAAACUAAUCCUGGUGUGCAGCUAUAUUCAGCAGGUCUUUACUUGGCAUUCUCUCAGGCAUGGUCUACCUUUACGCAUUAAUCUGUUUGUUGACAUGACUUACAGUGUUACUGUUUAUUUAGUAUUAAACAGGAGUGAUACACUGUCUUAAACAUGCCUUGUCAUGUCACAGCAAUGUUGUAAAGAAAGGAUUACUUACCUCGUAUCUUACCAAACUCCACGGGGAAACACUGCUUAGCUCAGAGUUUGGUUUCCUUAUACCUUUGGCAGCGUUUGGACUACAGGAUUUGCCAUAACGUGUGUUGUGUUAGGUUCUAGGGAGCAGACGACUAACUUGCAUAUUUUUUCAACAACCUGGUCAGGGCAGGAUUUACAUAUCAGAUGACUGGAGGCACAGAAUUCUAAAGUUCUCCACACCCCCCACACUCCCAAAAAAGUAAAGCAGAUAAAGUGAGUUUAAAAACGGCAUAUGUAUAUAUAUCUGCUUGUAAUAUUUUGUAUAGUGAGUGUAUGCAAAUGCAUGCAGGGCUAAAAAUAAUGGCCUUGAUUUCAUAUUUUUUGGAUAAACUUUUAAAAACAAAAAAUUCUAAAUGUUGAAAUAUAAAAAUAUAUCAUACAGAAAAAAUAUCAAUAUAUCAAAAUAUUACAAUAUAAUUUUUUUUCAAAAUAUUAAACCGCUUUAAAAGUUUAUCCAAAAAUAUUAAAUAAUUUGAAAAGCCUUGCCAAAAUCAUUCAAAUCAGGCCAAUGUUGAAGUGGUUAGGGCAAAGGAGGGGUUUAAAGUUUGAGAGCAGGGCCGGACUGGCCCACCGGGAUACCGGGAAAUUUCCCGGUGGGCCGUCGGCACCUGGGGCCGGACAGACACCUGGGUCUGCUGGCGGCCGCUGGGGGACUUGUGCUGGUUGUCGCUGGGGGAGCUGCGCUGUCUCUGCUCCCCAGCAUGCAGCUUAAUGAGACCGGGGCCGGAAUAUGAUGUCAUAUUCCUGCCCCGGUCUCAUUUAGCAGCGCGCGAGGGCGGGAGAGCAGAGCCAGCGCAGCUCCCCCAGCGGCCACCAGCACAAGUCCCCCAGCGGCCGCCAGCAGACCUCCCCCAGCAGCCGCCAGCAAAGGUGCCCCAGCAGCCGCUAGCACAGACAGCCGUCUGCACUGCACGACCCCCUGGCAGGUAGUAGUAAUGUGUGUCAGUGUGAGUUUGUCUGUCUGUCUGUUAUGGUGUGUGUGUGUGUGUCUGUCUGUCUGUGUCAUGGUGUCUGUCUGGUGGGUGUGUGUGUGUCUUUGUCUGAUGGUGUCUGUCUGUCAUGGUGUGUGUGUCUGUCUGUCAUGGUGUGUGUGUGUGUGUCUGUGUCAUGGUGUAUGUGUCAUGGUAUAUGUGUGUGUGUCUGUCUGUGUCAUGGUGUGUGUGUGGGUCUGUCUGUGUCAUGGUUUGUCAUGGUGUGUGUGUGUGUCUGUCAUGGGGUGUGUAUCUGUCAUGGUAUAUGUGUGUUUCUGUGUUUGUCAUGGUGUAUAUGUGUGUUUAAAAAUAGUGUUUUUGCUCACCUUUUUUUUCCCCCACGCAGCGUGCUGGUCUCCCCUCGACUGGCCCUGCCUCUAUGGCUGAGAUCAUCAAGCUUGAUCAGUUUAACACUAAAUCAGAGUCCCUGGCUACGCUUCUACUGAAUUCUUGGAAUUACACACUUCCUUGUAGCCAUACUAAUUUAUACUAGUAAUGGUACUGUGAUAGGCUGAAUGCAAUCAGACGACACUCUCAGCCAAUCACAGCCGAUCAUUGCUGCUCAGGCUAAUGCUUCCUCAUUGGACCAAUCAAAAAGUGGAUGGUUUGCUGAGGUCCCUCAUUUAGAAUAAAAAAUAAAUAAAAGUGGUUUAACGCUAAAUGGAAGGACCACACCAGUAGACUUGUCCCAAGCAGUUAUGGUGCCUACAGUGUCCCUUUAUAUGAGGACAACACAACUAUAUCAUAGGACUUCUCUUCUCUCCUUUGAAAACUGACCAGUUGAUAUGCUGUUAGUGCUGUGAGAUUUUUGUUUUUGUCCUUACAAUGUUGGUCACUGCAGAGUUUUCAAUUCAAUUGAUAUUACACACAUUUGAUUUAAGAAAUUUUUUAAAUAUGUGGUGCCAAAAGCAUUUUUAAAGUGUAAAUACAUAUUCCAGAUCUGGAGCUAAUGUAAUAUGUGUAUUGAGUCUCCAUAAACAAAGCAAAGACCUGUGUCCAGCUUCCAGUCUUCUCAGAUUGUUUGUGUUCAAUUUACCUGGACGAACGAGCUUCCUAGCAACUCAUUCAUGAAAGAGGAGUGUUUGUUUGCUUAUUGUGUAAGCCCAUCAGAUUUGACUACUGCUUAAAGAAAGAGUAAACCACUUGUGUGUUUGAUUAAUGGGCUUGGAAUAAAUGUUAAAUCUUUUAUGUGAACCUUUAAUAUUAACUUCCUAAUGUCAGGCCAACUAAAUUAACAAGUAACUCGGCCUUGAAAUAAAUAUGGACUACGGCAUUUAAAAAAAAAACUCUUACUGUCUCUACUUUGUUACCUGCGGCCCAAAUGUAGGAAUUAGAGUGUUCACUUCCUGCAUGUUGAUGUCAGCUGAGUUUUGAAGCCGAUCCCGACACUGGUUCCUGCUGUCAGGGUUAAAAACUUUAUGUUGUGUUGUGAAGGAAAAAAUUAAAGGAACACUCUGGGGUACCAUAACAACUUAAUUGAAAUCAAGUUUUUAUGGUGCCAGGAGGUGCCUGGAACUGGCUCCCCUUUAGGGGUUAAACCAUUCUCGAACAGUUUAACCACAAAUUCUGUGUUCCAGCUCCAGAUCUCUCUCUUCCUCAAAUUCUGGAAACCGGAAGUCUUGGGCAGACUCAGCAGGAGCGCUUCUGAUUGGCUGAGAGAGGUCUGCUGAUGCUCUCAGCCAAUGAGUGACUCCUCAUUCAUUAAACUGGCUCGGUUUUAUUACUGGGGAGUCACUCGGAAAGGUGAGCCAAUGCCAUUGUUAUGGUCCCCAAACUGGUCCUUUUAGGUUUCAUAGAUUUCAAGCCAAAACAUUUGAAUCUGCUCUCUUUUUCUCUGUAUAGGAAAUUGUUUUGUUAUCAGUUUUGUUUUUCUAUUUGUCUCUGUAGGUUAAUUCACAUUUAGAACACUCUCUCUUGCAUACAUAUUUUAUCUAGUUAUAACAAAAACAAAAAUGAAUUGUGAUUAGAGCAUCAUUAAUCAAUGUAAUGUAUCUCUUGUAUUCUUCUUUUGCAUGGAUUGGAGAACAUUUCAUUUAAAGUCUACUUCUGGAUGCAAUGCCCUUUGAGGGUUUAUAUCUUGCUGGUGAGUAAUGGUUUGGAAUCUGUGCAUAGCAGAAAUGUAUCUGAAAGUAAAUAAUACACGGAAAGAAUGUAAAUAGCAUAGUGCAGCUAUUUUCUCAAGAGACAUAGCUCAUCAGUUGGAACACGAACUGAAUAUUAAAUAUCUACUGGUGGAUAAAAUGUUCUGAUUGUUUGGAAUCAUGAACUUCUAUUUUUUCACACUCUGUACCGAAGGAUCACAUGCCAAGAAGCUGUUCAGGCUGCACCAUUUGAGCCAUGCAAGGGUAUGGCAUUGUAAAAUCUUAUCCUUUAUCUAUAUCCUUUUUGGGGUUUUUUACAUUCUUUAUUUUUUCAAUGCAGAAAGAAAAAUACAAGCAUACAGAUUUUUUUUUAGCAAGAACAUAUACAGUAUAAAAACGGUACACGUUUCAUGAACACAGCUUAGCCCAGAAUUGGUGUCACAUGAGUAGGAAGCGUCUGUUGCAUAGUUACAUAAUUACAUAGGCUGAAAAGAGACAUGUGUCCAUCAGGUUCAGCCUUUCUCGCAUCUGUUUUUUUUUGUUUUUGUUUUUUGCUGUUGAUCCAAAAGAAGGCCAAACAUUUUGAAGUUCUUCCAAUGUUGCAACAAACUAGGAAAUAAAUUCCUUCGUGACCCCAGAAUGGCAGUCAGAUUUAUCCUUGGAUCAAGAAGCUAUUACCCUACAUUUUAAGAAUGAUAUCCUUGAAUAUUAUAUUUUGAAAGUAUGUAUCCAGUUGCUGUUUAAACAUCUGUACAGACUCUGAUAAAGCCACUCCUUCAGGCAGAGAAUUCCACAUCCUUAUUGUUCUUACUGUAGAAAAACCUUUCUUUUGCCUUUGAGUAUAUCUCCUUCUUCCAGUCUAAACGCGUGACCCUGUGUCCUAUGGAUAGUCCUGUUUGUGUAUAGAUAUCCACACAAUGGUUUGUAUUGGCCCCGCAUAUAUUUGUAUAAUGUUAUAUCCCCUCUGAGGCGACAAUAUUCUAAACUAAAUAGGUUUAAAUUUGUUAACCUUUCUUCAUAGCUGAUAUGUUCCAUUCCUUUUAUUAAUUUUGCAGCCUGCCUCUGCACUCCUUCUAGUGCCACAAUAUCCUUCUUUAGAUCAGGUGCGCAAAAUUACACAGCAUAUUCAAGGUGUGGUCUUACCAGUGAUUUAUAAAGAGGCAAAAUUAUAUUAUUUCGAGAAUUAAAGCACCUUUUUAAAACAUGACAAUACCUUACUGGCCUUAGCCACUACUGACUCACACUGCACACUGCUGCCUAGUUUGUUGUCGAUAACAAUUCCCAAAUCCUUAUCUUGUGCUUUUAUCCUAAUUUACUACCAUUUAGGGUGUAAAGUUACUGGUGCAUUUUAUUGCUCUGAAGUGCACAACUUUGCAUUUUUCUACAUUAAAUUUAAUCUGCCAUUUGAGUGUCCAGUCCCACAAUCUAUCUAAAUAUAUCUGCAGCAUAGUAAUAUCUUGCUUACAUUGUGUUACUUUAGAGUUUUGUGUCAUCUGCAAACACUAAAAUAUGACUGUCAAAGCUUAUUUCAAGAUCAUCUUUGAUUAUGUUAAAUAGAAGUGGUCCUAGAGAAGAACCCUGAGGGACACCGCUAACCACUUUUGUCCACCUUGAAAAUUUACCAUUAAUGACAACUGUUCAUGCUCCAUUUUUAAGCCAAUGUUCUACCCAAGUACAACAAUUUUCAUCUAGACCGAUUUCUUUGAGUUUCAACACUAAUGUAUUGCGAGGAACCAUAUCAAAUGCCUUGGUUAAAUCCAAGUAGAUCACAUCCACUGCAACACCCUGGUCUAUACUUCUACUUACUUCUCCAUAGAAUGCAAUUAGGUUACUUUGACAUGACCUAUGACCACAGGUUGACUCUUCCUGCAGAGUCCUCCAGAACUGCUGGCAUAUAGAAUCAAAUUCCUUCCGAAAGCCACUUGGUGUAUAGCAGUGUUGCCUUCUGCCAUUAUAGGUAUACUGCAUGGGAGCAGCCUUUAAAGCACGGGGAGGGGGCAGUACAGGGCUUUGGUUGUGUGCAGGAUUGGUCCUUCCAGAUCACGUUUAGAAAACCAGCCACGGACUAGGCCUCAAGUUUCGUCCACCGUCAGCCACAGCGAGAUGCCCAGGAGUCUCCAAGUGCAGACUAGUAGCCGAUAAAAGGCUAAAGGUAUUGGGUUUUGAGCGAUUAUGUAGAAAACCCCAGGAGCCAAAAUGACCGGCGUCUGCUCAGCUUGACGGUCAUUCUCCGUCCCCUCUGUAUUUAUAUCUUGUCUCUGCCUUAUUAAAGCAGCAGCACAGAGGAAACCAGAAAGAUGGUAAGUGAUCUUCUUAACCAAGUUCCACCUCCCACUAUAACAACUUUUAUUAUUAGAAUUAUUUAUUAUUAUUAACACUUAUAUAGCACCAACAUUUUCUCUAGUGCUGUAAAUUGUACAUUGGGGUUGUUUAACAAAUAAUUGAUAGAGAAGUAGUUAAAGGAAAACAGCAACCACAUGUGAAAGCUUACACAAGAUUAAUAGUUACCACCAACGAUAAAGCAGCCCUGCCGUUCAGCGUCCCCACGUUCUGCAUGGAGACGCUGAAUUUUCCUCAUAGAGAUGCAUUGAUUUUGGUUUACUGUGCCUAUUUGGUAAACUCCUUCCAUUACAUUUUUCUCAUCAGGAAAAAAGGUUAUUAUGUGUAACAGUGUUAAUUGUAAGUAUUUAUAUGAAGAGAUGCACAGAUCUAAUAGAUGUAUUAAAUUAACUGUAUCUCGCAUGAAUUUCUGUCUAAUGCAAGUUUAACUUAUAUCAGCAAACUUUUUCUUUACCUGCAAUCCAAAACAGGACUGAUUGAUAAUGUAAUCAAACUGUGAUGUAACAUUGAUAGCAGCUUGGGAUACAGGUCUGAUUUAAAAUAACAGUUUUUCCUUUUAGUGUAUUGAUCAAAUAAUGAGCAGGGAAAUCCGUUAUGACAAUGAACCCAACCGACAUUCAGAAAAAAUACAAUACACAUUGUAAUAUGUAUUUAAAAAUGACAUGUAGCAGAUAAGGAAAAUACUUAUAAGGAGAAUAACGUAAUAUGUACUGAAACAGAUGACAAUGGAUUUAUCUAUACUGUAAAGUCUCCUUUAACAAGUUACUUAAAACAAAAACAUACCUGCACAACAUUAGGUAUAGCUUUAUGGCUUGGAGGAAAGACAAGAUGGGGGGGGUGUUGAUAGAAACAUUUAAAUACAUAAAGGGAAUCAACGCAGUAAAAGAGGAGACUAUAUUUAAAAGAAGAAAAACUACCACAACAAGAGGACAUAUUCUUAAAUUAGAGGGACAAAGGUUUAAAAAUAAUAUCAGGAAGUAUUAUUUUACUGAGAGGGUAGUGGAUGCAUGGAAUAGCCUUUCAGCUAAGGGGAGGGAGUUUAAGCAUGCCUGGGAUAGACAUAAGGCUAUCUUAGCUAUAAAAUAAGGCCAGGGACUUAAAAAGUAUUUUAAAAAUUUGUGCAGACUAGAUGGGCUGAAUGGUUCUUAUCUGCCGUGACAUUCUAUGUAUAUACUUGUACCAAAUAUGGAACAUUGGUCUCAAAAGUGUAUAAAGCCCACAUAAUGUAAUAUGGUGUCGGGCUAAAACAGGGCAUCUGAUCUCCAAGUGCAGCCCAGCACCCUAAAUCCUUCUUGCUGUUACGGGUAGUCAGUAGCACUUAUCAUAUUGAGUCAUGCAUGCCCUAUGUAGUGUACGAUGGUGUAAUCAUCUACUGUAAAUCUUCACAAGGCCGAAGAACUGACUAGAACUCUAGCCACACAAUUUGUUUCUGUGCCGGGUGAGGACCAGCCUUUGAAUGGAAGCAAUGGUGAAUGGAACUUAUUGUAAUGCUCUACAACAUAAAAAAAUAGAGAAAAUAUUUCAAAACAACAUAUUAAGGAAAAUUAGAUUCACCUUAAUGUUUACAUUUUCUUAUAACACUAGUGUCCUAAAGUCCUCUAAACCUAUUAAAAAAAAACACAUUUUGAAAACUCCCUGGAACGUAUGUCUUUUGACUUGUUUAUUACGGUGACAAAUAGUAAGACAAUCCACCCUAAGUCUUCAUAAAACAAACCUGUGAUUCUUCAUCAACCACAUACGAAGAAUGGUAGAAAAAGAAAAUGCUAUUAUUUAGAAAGCUAUAUUCUGUAUACUCAAUCCCAAAUCAUGAGAGAAGCACCACUUAUAAAGUGCUUAUGUAUUAAAACACACAAAAUCAGUCUCCUUACUGAAGUACAACCAAUAAAUAUAAAAUGCAAUUCUGUGCUAGCUGUACUGUUACUUUGCAGUAUUAUAGCAUUAUGUUUUUAAAUUAAUUAAAAAAAAUACUUAUUUUAAAUUCAUCCUUGGUUUUUGCUUAUACAUUAGAAAAAGUAAGCACUACUUUAUUUAAAGGAACUCUCCAAGCACCAUGCUUGUAGUGGUUAUAGUGUUGGGAGCACUGGCUCCAUCCUAGUGUCAUGUAGUCAAAAUGGUUUAGUAUAUUUAACAAUUUAUAUGAGUUCCGCCAGGCACCUUUGGCUGCAGCUCUUAUGCUGCGUAGUGGUUAUGGUGUGUCAUUGUUUUUUUUAUACACCAUAUUCUUUAGUCUUACCUCUUAUUUUCUUAUUGCAAUCUUAGAAUGUAGUGGCACAUGAGAUCAAGUUAGAAAGUUCAAUGUAGAGACUGCAAGGUACUGUUUAAUCGGGGCAACUAGUCGGUGAGUGUGCUGAAUAAAGUCCAGAUGGUACCUAAGGAUGUCCUAGUGAGGGUGCACAAUGUUUAUUUUCCCCUGCAGACAGAGGUAGUAGAUAAUUAGGGAUCUUCAGCUUUUUCAUGCGGUACAGACAGCCUACUGGAGGAGAGACUUUUAAAAGUUAGGCCCCAUCUCACCCUCUUCCUCCUAACCGUAUAAAUCUGCUAAGACCCCAAAAUGCCCCAGUUCUCUGAUUGUCCUCAGCAGAGCAGGUACCCAAGGUAAAAUAGGGACCAUCAUACCAGUGAUUCUUAAUCACUAGGUGUAAGACCCAAAUUAAGUGACCAUGCUAUUUAAUUGAGUCCCCAAUGAAACAAGUACAUCAAAUUCAUCAGGCCACAGGUGACUGCUUCUAAAAAAUGGUUAAUGGUGCAUCACUGCCUUCCCAAUGAAAUGGUAACCACUCUCAUGCUGGGAAGAAGUACUUAAUUUGGGUCCUUUUGGUGGCAUUAAUAUUUUUAUUUUAACAAAAAAAUGUUUUAUAAACAUAUAUGUCAAUACAAAAAAUAACAUAAAAUAGGAAAAAUACCCACUUUUUUUCCACCUUUUUAUGUAUGGUAUUCUGUUUAUCUCAGAGAUGAUUUGUGUGGGAGGUAUUCAUUAAUUGCUGUAUGGUUAUAUCACCAUAAACCAUCUAUUGAGUGUCAGUUUUGCCUUGUAUUUUAUUUUGCUUGCUACCAUCUGUUUUAAAAUAAAAUUGCUGACUAUCACCUCUAUAAAUAACAAGAGAGUAAUUCAUAUUUUCUGACCUUCUCAAGAAAAUAAAGUAAUCUCAAAUAUGAUAAAGUAAGCAUAUUUUUUUACAAAAUAUUGCUCUGCACUCAAAGUGUUAAACUGUGCUAAUAUGCGCAUAGUAGUUCUAACCCCACAAUGUGUGUUUUUGCUUUUUUUUUUUCAGUAAAUAAUUUUUUACUAAUUUUCCUUUUUUGGGGGGGAGAACCGGGGCACUUAAGCUGUGCAGGGUUUUUAUAUAAAUAGUACAUUUAAUAACCCUCUCAUGAUUUGUUUGGGUGGGGGAUCAUGAGAGGCACCAGAUCCGAAAGGAACUCUGGAACGAAGUCCUGGAGGUGCUCCAGGUUCCUCAGAGGGAAUCCCUUCCAGCUCCGGAACAGCGACUGCAGAAUCAGCUGGACCUGCGGAUACCUCUCCUGGGAGAGCAGCCCCAUGAGGAAUGGUUCAGUGAACUGGAGCGACUUGUCCGGAAGGAACUGUGGAUCGACAAUGGUUACCGAGCCUUACGAUGGCAUGCCAUCCAACUGUAUCCGUGGAUAGCCCAGGACGGCCCUCCCGAGGGAGAUCACUAUGAUGGCCCUGGCCUUUGUUGGGAUUAUUUGGGAGAUAAAUUUGGAUUCGGAGAUCUGGGGUUCAGAGAUCCAGACCGUUCCCGCUUCUGGGACAUGCGAGAGGACCGGGAAGAAUGCUUGAACCUUGCAGCGAUAACAGAGCUGCAGCCGAAUCUGGAUUAUCUGGUUGACCUAGAAUUGGAGCUCGAACAGGACUAGGCACGCCUGUUCCCAAGUACAACACCGCCUGGCUCAGAAUUUAUGCUAAUGGACUUUGCAAUCCAGGGGGAGAAGAGUUAUGUCCUUCCUCCCCAGUGGCAGUGUGAAGUGCAGGGAACGGAGACAGCCGGUCUCAUUCUCCAGUGGCAGUGUAUGAUCCAGAGGAUGAGACAACCGGUCUCAUUCCCCAGCGGCAGUGUGAGUUAUCAGGAGAGAUAACCACGGGUAGGGAGGGUGUCGUGGCUGGGACUUCGGUCGCCAUGGGCACCCUACAAGUGGAAGAGUUGGCUCCUCCGACUCUUCCUGGAGCUAAGCCCAGAGACCUGGUAUGGUCGGUCAGCGGGUAGCGGGCGAACCUACGGCCGCCACUACCCCUUCCACUGAGGAUGCAUCGGCAUCUGAGCAGAGCGCAGCCAGCCUCUGCUCUCCCCUUCCCCCAGAGCCAGUUGGUGUGGAGGUGCGGGCAUCCGGGCAAGUAGCCUCUGCCCACCCCUGAUAUCCCAGGAACAGAUAGGUGCGGAGGCGCGGGCCUCCAGGCAGAGGGCAAGUAGCCUCUGCCCACUCCUGAUACCCAAGGAACCGAUACGUGUAGCGGCUUGGACCUCCUGGCAGGUAGCCACUGCCCACCCCAAGACUGUGCCGUGGAGAUUUUAUGUAAACAUUUCCUUUUCACAUUGCUGCCUAGGAACAUUUCUAGUGGCACCUCUAGACGACCACUAGAGGUGCUUCUUGGUCGGUGCUGCACAGUGUGCCGCACUGACAUACAGUGCCUCCACGCUCUGCAUGGAGACACUAAACGCUUCUGAUAGAGAUGCAUUGAUUCCAUGCAUUUCUAUUAGCGUAUGCUGAUUGGCGAGGUGUGGUGGUUUGCCUCGUAUGUGCAAUAGCCUCCCAAUGCUUUCCUAUGAGAUUGGCUGGCCUAUUGGAUUGGCUGAGAUCAUUCAGAUUGAUGAGCUCAGCCAAGGAUAAGGAAAAAAUGUGAGUAAACCACCUUCUUAACAGGGGAGAAGGGGGCCUGACAACCUAAAUAGCACUAUUAGAAUUAUAGUGUGAGAAAUACAUGUUUGUAUUCCUGACAGUAUAGUGUUCCUUCAAGUAUAUAUUUGAGAACCUGCCAGACACUCCAGCGAGAAAGUCCAGAGAAUUUAAUUAGCAUGCCCUCUAUUUGACCCUGUAAUUUUCCAAUUGUAAUUGUUAUAUUCCCCGUAAAAUCUGUACAUUGCGAUUACUCUUGUACUUCUCUUGAACAAAAAGAUAUGUCAUAAGCGUGGGUGCACUUAUUAUAAAAGGGGUAAAUUAUGGUUGAAGAGACCCUCAAAUUCUAGGGUUUGUUUUGGUUAAGAACUAAGGACAAUUGCCUGUUUAAGGGGUUAAUGUGGAAAUAACCAAACUGCUGUUUUCCAGGGUAUUUUUCUAUCUUUAAUCAUAACAGAGGAUUAAAGAAAAUCAGAAAUGUUGUUAAGGGAUAACACAGAUAAUGUCGAACUAAUUGCAUUCUAUAAAGUAGUGACUAGAGAUAUAGAUCAGGGUGUCACAGUAGAUGUGAUCUAUUGGAUUUUGCUAAGGCAUUUCAUACAGCUGCACAAAAAAGCUACUGUUUAGACUUAAAACAAUUUCUUUAGAUACAAAUUAUUGUUCUUAUAUAGAACUCUGACUUCAAGAUAGAGUGCAGAGAGUCAGCAGUGGAACUACCAAUGGUGCGGCAGUACUGAGUCAGAAUGCUGUGGGGUACCAAUCGGCUGGGCCGUGCUACCCAACGGACAUUGUUGAACAGGGGCCCAGUCGUGCUAUUAAAGUGCCAUGGCGCCUGAACUGUAGUAUCAGAUGUUGUGAGAAAGUGAGAGCCUGUCACUUACUCCCAGCUACUGAGGGAACCACGUGGGAGGCAGAGAGGAUUCACAGGAGGGAGGAGAAGCAAAGAGAGAGAUUCUCUAGAGUCUAGACCCACUCUCCCAUCUGCCUCAGCCAGCAGAUUUCGAGUGGCCUUUUGUUGUGGCCAGCCUAAGGCACACCUGUGCAUUAAUCAUGCGGUCUAAUCAGCAUCUUGAUAUGCCACACCUGUGAGGUGGGUGGAUUAUCUCAGGAAAGGAGAAGUGCUCACUAACACAGAUUUAGACAGAUUUGUGAACAAUAUUUGAGAGAAAUAGGCCUUUUGUGUACAUAGAAAAAGUCUUAGAUCUUUAAGUUCAGCUCAUAAAAAAUGGGGGCAAAAACAAAAGUGUUGCGUUUAUAAUUUUGUUCAGUGUAAUAAGUGUGAGUGCACUUCAUAUGAAAGAGUUGAAUUAUGGUUGAACAGACAUAUAGCGCAAAUGCCAGGUUUUGUUUUGAUCAUAACUUGUACAAUUUCCUUCAUCCUUAAGGGAUUAACAUAGAAACAUAGAAACAUAGAAUGUGACGGCAGAUAAGAACCAUUCGGCCCAUCUAGUCUGCCCAAUUUUCUAAAAACUUUCAUUAGUCCCUAGCCUUAUCUUAUAGUUAGGAUAGCCUUAUGCCUAUCCAUGCAUGCUUAAACUCCUUUACUGUGUUAACCUCUACCACUUCAGCUGGAAGGCUAUUCCAUGCAUCCACUACCCUCUCAGUAAAGUAAUACUUUCUGAUAUUAUUUUUAAACCUUUGUCCCUCUAAUUUAAGACUAUGUCCUCUUGUUGUGGUAGUUUUCUUCUUUUAAAUAUAGUCUCCUCCUUUACUGUGUUGAUUCCCUUUAUAUAUUGAAAUGUUUCUAUCAUAUCCCCCCUGUCUCGUCUUUCCUCCAAGCUAUACAUGUUAAGAUCCUUUAACCUUUCCUGGUAAGUUUUAUCCCGCAAUCCAUGAACCAGUUUUGUAGCCCUUCUCUGAACCCUCUCUAAGGUGUCAAUAUCCUUCUGAAGAUACGGUCUCCAGUACUGUGUACAAUACUCCAAGUGAGGUCUCACCAGUGUUCUGUACAAUAGCAUGAGCACUUCCCUCUUUCUACUGCUAAUACCUUUCCCUAUACAACCAAGCAUUCUGCUAGCAUUUCCUGCUGCUCUAUUACAUUGUCUGCCUACCUUUAAGUCAUCAGAAAUAAUCACCCCUAAAUCCCUUUCCUCAUAUGUUGGGGUUAGAACUCUAUCAAAUAUUCUGUACUCUGCCCUUGGGUUUUUACGUCCAAGAUGCAUUAUCUUGCACUUAUCCACAUUAAAUGUCAGUUGCCACAAUUCUGACCAUUUUUCUAGUUUACCUAAAUCAUUUGUCAUUUGGCUUAUCCUUCCUGGAACAUCAACCCUGUUACAUAUCUUAGUAUCAUCAGCAAAAGACAUACCUUACCAUCAAGACCUUCUGCAAUAUCACUAAUAAAAAUAUUAAAGAGAAUGGGUCCAAGUACAGAUCCCUGAGGUACCCCACUGGUGACAAGUCCAAGCUUCGAAUAUAUUCCAUUAACUACAACCCUCUGUUACCUGUUACUCAGCCACUGCCUUACCCAUUAAUAUAGAUAAAUAUAAAGUUAUGCAUUUUGGGAUAAGGAACCCGCAACAAGCAAUUUAUAUCUUUAAUGGGAUUAAUUUAUGGAUAACAUUAAAUGAGAAAAAAUUUGAAACAAUUAUAAAUGACAAAGUAGGUCUCACUAUGAAUAUGUAGUGCAAUUUUGGGCACUCAUUUAAAGAAAGAUAUAACAGAACUGGAAAAGUGCAGAGGUGGGCUACAAAAUGAAUAAGGGGAUGUCAUAAAUUACAAAGAAAAGUUAGAAAAACUGCAUUUGCUUUCUUUAGAAAAAGUAUAUGAUAGUACUAUACAAAUUUCUCAGAAAAAAAAAAAAAUAUAUAGCUACUGUAACCUGCUCAUUAGUAGCAAUAUACAACAGUCAAGACAGAGGUCAUCCAUUAAGACUUGUAUAAAGGUAAUUUUACCUUAAGCAGAGCAUAGUUUGCAGUAAGAACAAUAAAGGUUAUGGAAUUCUCUGACUAAAUACAUUAUUUUUUUAGACUCCUGAUUUUUUUGUUUUUUUAAAUAAAAAUAUUGAAAAUGUUUACAAAAUUUUUAAGGCUAUCCAUACAAGCAUGUGAACAACUUGUUGUUCCAAUAGGAAUUCUGUUUGCCAUUAUAGAGUCAAGGAUUUAUUUUUCCUUAAUUCACUUUUUUUUAUUUAUUUUUUUAAGACCUUGCAUUUGUCAAAAAAGGUUUAGGAACAAUAAUAAUUAACUUGUCAUUCAGUGGUGUUUGUGUGUCUACUAUGUAGGAGCUGCAGUCACUGACCUGCCUGUAGCUCACUGCAGAAACCACGCCCACACAGUAACCACGCCCCUUCCUGACAGACUCUAAUCCUCCGUAUUCUCGGAGCCACUGACUUCGCGAGAGACGUGGUGACGUCACGCAGACGGUCUCCAUGGCGACGCUAGAGGCUUUAUCCGAGCUCGGGAGAGAGACAGGAGCGCUCGGCUCAGGGUAACGGGGAACAGAUGUCAUAUCGGUUAUAUCGGUUAUAUCGGUCAUAUCGGUCAUAGCUCGUCCCGGCCGUGGGGUAAGUUCAUAGCUCUCGGCUUAUCUGUGUAGAUAUGGAAGCGGCUUGGUCGGUUACCAUGGCAGCCGCCAUUCAUCGCAAUUAAAGCUCCAUAUGGAGAGAAAGGUGGCAUGGCGCUGUCAGUGGCAGUAACGCAGGGCAUAACUAAUACCGGGCGAGGUGGGGGGUAAUGGGGGUUAUAUUGCUGUCAGCGGGCAUUAGUGAGGAUGGCAUUAUAGUGCCAAGGGGGGUAAUGCAGGGUGACCGGGUACGGCAUGCCAGGUAAUAAUGGGGAGCAUGGCACUGCCAGGGGAGUAAAUAAGGGUAAACUGCUGCUGUACCCGGGGGUAAAGGAUGGGGACAUGGCACUGCCAGGGGAGUAAGUAAGGGUAAAGCAAGGUCAUAUGGCACUGCCAGUGGGAGUAAAGCAAGGUGAUAUGGCACAACCAGAGGAAGUGAAUGUAGGUGACUUGGCACUGCCAGUGUGAAUGAAUGUAAGUGGCAUGGCACUGCCAGUGUGAAUGAAUGUAAGUGGCAUGGCACUGCCAGUGUGAAUGAAUGUAAGUGGCAUGGCACUGUUAGGGGGAUAAAAGGAAGGUAAUAUGGCACUGCCAGGGUGAAUGAAUGUAGGUGACAUGGCACUGCCGGGGUAAAUGCAGGCAGGUGACAUGGCACUGCUAGGGGGAGUAAAGGAAGGUGAUAUGGCACUGCCAGGGUGAAUGAAUGUAGGUGAUAGGGCACUGCCAUUGGGAAUACAUUAGGGACACAUGAGGCUGCAAGGCACAGCAAAAAAGCUGAUGUAACACUGUCAAAAGGAAAGUGAACGUGAUAUGGUACCUGGUGCUGCAAGUAGGAAUAAGUGAGGGUGACAUGGUACUACCAGGGGGAGUAAAGGAAGAUGACAUGGCACUGCCAUUGGGAGUAAAAAAGAGGGCAUGAUACUACAAGGGAAUGCAAAGAAAGAGGGAUUAAGAAAAUGUGACAUUAUAAUGCCAGGAGUAGUUAAGGAAGGUGACGUAGUACAGCCAGGGGGAGAAAAUGGUGGCAUGUGUUACCCUGCUAUACUCCUGCCACAAGGAAUAAAGAUGUUAAACAUGGUAUUGCCCAGGCAAUAAAUAAGGGUGAUGUGGUACAGCAAGGGGAGGUAAAAAAUAGGACAUGGGACAUAUUAUUGCAAAGGGAGGUAGAGAAAGGUGACAUGGUGCUGCCCAGAGUAGUAUAUGUGACUGACAGUGUUGUGCAAGGGAAGGUAAACCAAUAUGAUAUGUGUUUGCCUAGGGAAUAGAAGAUGGUGACAGGCAAGAUUGUCAAUAUUUUACCAGUUAAAUAGAAGGUGCAAGAUAGCAUAUGACAUAACAAUUUCAUAAUUCUUGACAGAUGUUUAGAAAUAUUAUUUUAUUUAUAUGUAUUUAGUAAUGGGGGUCCUAGUUAACUAAUAUUAAAAGUAUAUAUUAUUUUAUUUUAUCUCAUUACUUUUCCUGUAUUUGAUCUGUGUUUAUCCAAUCUACCUAAACCCUCUGUAGUUUAUAAAUAUGUUAAAUAUAUGUAUAAUUUAAUUUUAGCAUUGUAGAAUUUGCAUUGUAUAAUGCAGAAUUGUCUUUGAAUAUUACACUGCGGGCACAGUGCUUGUUAUACAGUAAAUAAAAUAUUUAUCUGAAUAAUGGGUCUUGGAUUACACAAGUGAUUGAUAAUGGGAGUGCUGGAGUUUAAGUAUGCCAAAUCACUGCAUGCUUUGCCAUUAAUUGCAUCCCACACAUAGAGCAAGCUCAUUCAUGCUAACCCACGACACCAUCAACCUUACCCAUCUCUCCAACCAGCCAUUUAAAGGGACACUUCAAUUAUUUGCUCACAACCACUGUAAAUAAUAAAUUCAAGGUAAAUUAUUUACAUUCUCAAUUUCCUUUAAGAUUUGAAAAAUCAUAAUCAUUAAUUUUCCUAUAUAUGCUGGACCAGCUUACUAUAGGGGCUAUUGGAGCUGAAGCUCCAGGCCAACACAUUGCUAAUUGCCUUUUUAAUUAUCUGCUACUUCCCUGACAUGCUGGCAGAGACCGAUUAACAUAGGGGUCAGAUGCACCCACACUGAACCACGAAGACACACAGACACAAUGAUCCAUGCAGACAGACAGACACACACAUACACACAGAGAUCCAUGCAGACACACACACAUGCACACACACUGACCCAUGCAGAUACACACACAUACUGAUCCAUGCAGUCUCACACUGACCCAUGCAGACACACACACACACAUUGAUUGUUGCAGACUGAAACACACUGACCCAUGCAGACACACUGACACAAACAUACACACUGAUCCAUGCAGAUCCAUACAUUUGUCCAAGCAGACACACACACACACUGACCCAUGCAGAUACACACGCACACAAACACACUGAUUCAUGCAGACACACAUACUGAUAUAAACUUAUAUACUUAUCAGAGUUAACAUAAAACAGCUUCCCACUGAACACCUCCCAAAUAGUGUUACAUCUGACCAAGCCAAGAAAUACAAUAUACGUGGGAUUCAGCUGAUAAAUCUAAAAUGAAAUAAAAUAAAACAUAGCAUAAUACAUGUAACGGAUCACCUGGCACCCCGACUGGGUACCUCCGUUGAAGGAUGCUCCUAGCGCUUCCUGAGGACUCCAAGCACUCUGGCAGACACCACAAUCACCGAACCGGAGAAACAAAUAAAUUCUCCCAAGCAUAUGAAUGCUGUAGACAGUUGAAUAGGAACCAUAUGAAUAGGUUUACUCUCCUAGCAGUCAAACUGGAACAGCAUACAAUAAAUCCUUCCCCCAAUAAUGAGGCGACACUUCACUUUGAGGGUUAAAACAGGAACUCCCUGUACUGUCACAUACAGUCUCUUUUAUUCCCAAUCCACAAACAUAGUACAGCCCACAGGGCGUUACAAAACAACCAAUCACAUAUCAGUUACAUCCCACAUAUUCCCUCCCCUUAUCCUGAGAGGAAACUCAAUUACACAUACAGUUAAAACAUACUUUCUACCCAACUUUCAUAACUCUAAAACCAUACAUCACAUUCACAUAAAAUUACAUAUUCACAAUCAAUCCAUUCAGGGGAACAACAUAUUCAAAAAUGGCACAAAUCAGACAAGGGGUUCAAAAGUUAGUAAAAGUCCUUUGUGACUAAAUGAAGCAUGGCUUUCUGGCCCAAACCAGUUUCAGAGUCUUCUAUCCUGGAGAUAAGUAAUUCAAUUAUCUCCCAGGACAGACACAAGACUCCAUUAAGCACAUGGUUGCAAAAGACACAAAACACUUUAAAAUACAUAAAGUCACAUUUACACAUAACACACAGACAUUUCACAUAUCCCCAGAUAGCUGGGAUCUGAGUGCACAUUAUUAGAUGAAUGGCACCCAGAUCACACAAAUAAGCCUUUCUGCAGGGGAAAUAAACGGUUUAACCUGCAGGGCCAUAGUCCAAAGGGAGCAGGCGAGCAACCAGGCUUCUCCAGUUCACAGUGGCGAGGUUGGUUUCGCCACACUUCUCCCCUUUACCAACUAGACUAACAGGGUAUCUGACCUCCUGCCGGUCAGUGCCCUGGUUAGUCCAGCAACCCACCCACAAAACAGAAACAGCAGUACAGCCCACCCACAAUAACUGGUUACUACACCUGGGUAGAGGAGAACUUUGUCCAUGUCCAGGUGCCUCACCACGACUGUUUGGGCAACUGUUAGGCUGCCUUGGUGGGUUGCUGAGUGGGCAGAGACCAGCGGUACUCUGCCCUGAUGCCAGUGCUACCACAGAAGUAGCCUGGUGGGAGCCUGGUUGUGGGAGGGAGAGACCGACUGUCUCCCCUCUGGAUACACCGCUCUGUGGCUGGGGAACAUGACCGACUGUCCCUACCCCUUGUGCUGUAAGUGCAGAGACUACAGUCCCAUCUGCACUGUUGGGGGGUGUAACAUCUCCCCUUGCUGGGUUAGGCUGCCGCUGGAGAGGGGGUGUAACAAGCUCCUCUCUCUGAACUGUAAACUGCCGCUGGGGAGAGGGGGUAUCAGGCUCCUCUCCCUGACACUCUCUCUGCUGGUGGAGAGGGGGACCAGCUGUCUUCCCUUUCAUUAUUUUGUCCUGUGGUUGGGGUGCGAGACUGACGGUCUCUGCUCCCUGCAGGACACUCUGCCGCUGGGGAGGAAGGACGGCACCUUCAGCUCCCUGGGGUACACACUGCAGCUGGGGAGGAAGGACUGCACCUUCAGCUCCCUGGGGUACACACUGCCGCUGGGGAGGAAGGACUGCACCUUCAGCUCCCUGGGAUACACACUGCCGCUGGGGAGAGGGGAUAACAAGCUCCUCUCCCUGACACUCUCUAUGCUGUUGGAGGGGGAGACCGACUGUCUCCCCUUUCAAUAAUUUGUCCUGUUGCUGGGGAGAGGUGAUAACCGGUUCCUCUCCCUGGAACACUCUCUGCUGUUGGAGAGGGGGACCAACUGUCUUCUCUUUUAAUAUAUUGCCCUGCUGCUGGGGAGCGAGACCGACUGUCUCCGCUUCCUGCAGGACACACUGCCGCUGGGGAGGAAGUACAGCACCUUCAGCUCCCUGGGAUACAUACUGCCGCUGGGGAUCUGGGCUGACUGCCCAGCAUCCCUGUAGGGCCUGUAGAGAGACCUCGGUCCCAUCCCCACCUGCCAGCUGGGUGUCUUCCCAGGACAAGUCAAUAAGGUCUUCCAUCUCUGGGGCUGGUUGGGACAUAUGUGGUACAGUACCAAGGUCUCCUGAUAACAGGCUUGGUUGCUGGGGAGGAGGAACUAAACUCAAUGCUUCCGGUGGUAUACAGUCAAUAAGCCCCAUCAUGUCAAAGACAGGCGGCGAUAUACGUUGGAAUAGGCAAACAUAAUCCUGUUCUAGUUCCCACUCUCGAUUGGCAAGAAAAGAUAGAUCUGGCUGAAUGGCAUCGAUCUCUGUAAGGUCCCAGUUGUCUGCCCGCUCAGCUCGGAUGGACCAGAAGCGAGCAAUGUCGGUGUCUCCGAACCAGAGACUAGUUUCAAUAGUAUCCCACAACAAACCAGGGCCGUCGUAGUCUUCCCCUCAAUACACUUGUACUCAAUCAGCCAUGGGUAGAGGUGGUAAACAUGCCACCGCAGGGCCCGAUAGGAAUCAUCCAGCCACACCUCAGUCUCAACUAGCGUCUCCAGUUCGCUUACCCAUUCCUCUGAGGGCUGGUUUCCCAAUAACGGCAUCCGCAGCUCUAGUUGUUCUGCUUGGCGCUGGUUAGUGGUCAGGAUUUCCUCGCACCGGAAGGGUCGAAUUUCGUCGAUGUCCUCCUUCCAGAGAUUGGUACGAAGCGCCACCCUCCACUCUGUCUCUCUUUCCUCUGGGAUAGGAUACUCCAUACUGCGCAUCACAUCCUGUAGUCGCUGCUGGAGCCUGGCGUCAAAGUGAGAUACUGCACGGCCUUCCAUCUCUGAAGUAGUGCUGGUUUUCCCAAAUCUUUAUGUAGACAGGGACGCUGUAUGAACACUAGCGUCACCUUCAAUUUGUAAAUCCACGAACUGUGUCUCUGAGCUGCUUUACCUCGCACUAGGACGCCAUCCCACCGCUGCCACCAAUGUAACGGAUCGCCUGGCACCCCGACUGGGUACCUCCGUUGAAGGAUGCUCCUAGCGCUUCCUGAGGACUCCAAGCACUCUGGCAGACACCACAAUCACCGAACCGGAGAAACAAAUCUCCCAAGCAUAUGAAUGCUGCAGACAGUUGAAUAGGAACCAUACGAAUAGGUUUACUCUCCUAGCAGUCAAACUGGAACAGCAUACAAUAAAUCCUUCCCCCAAUAAUGAGACGACACUUCACUUUGAGGGUUAAACAGGAACUCCCUGUACUGUCACAUACAGUCUCUUUUAUUCCCAAUCCACAAACAUAGUACAGCCCACAGGGCGUUACAAAACAACCAAUCACAUCACAGUUACAUCCCACAUAUUCCCUCCCCUUAUCCUGAGAGGAAACUCAAUUAUAUAUACAGUUAAAACAUACUUUCUACCCAACUUUCAUAACUCCAAAACCAUACAUCACAUUCACAUAAAAUUACAUAUUCACAAUCAAUCCAUUCAGGGGAACAACAUAUUCAAAAAUGGCACAAAUCAGACAAGGGGUUCAAAAGUUAGUAAAAAGUCCUUUGUGACUAAAUGAAGCAUGGCUUUCUGGCCCAAACCAGUUUCAGAGUCUUCUAUCCUGGAGAUAAGUAAUUCAAUUGUCUCCCAGGACAGACACAAGACUCCAUUAAGCACAUGGUUGCAAAAAGACACAAAACACUUUAAAAUACAUAAAGUCACAUUUUACACAUAACACACAGACAUUUCACAUAUCCCCAGAUAGCUCAGGUCUGAGCGCACAUUAUUAAGUGAAGGGCGCUCGGACCACACAAAUAUAGUUUAAUCGCCAUGGAGCCAAAGUCUUUACAGUCAGUUUCAUACGAAUGGGCUCCAUGGGAUUCCUAUCUGGGGUAUAACACAUUCACAUAAAGUCUGGUCCAUAGUCCAAAGGCAAGAGGCGGGCAAGCAGCCCCCUCCAAGGACACGUGGCGAGGCCGGUUUCGCCACAGCAUUUAAAAAAAAAAAAAAUUAUUUUCAAAUAUUUUGUUUGUGAAUUGAAGUUUUAUUACAAACCAAAUGCAUAGAAAACAGUUAAGUAAUCGGGCAUGCAGGUCCACAGCAAAAAGCAGAUCACAUAAUUUUGUAUUUUCCAGUUUCGUGGCCUUAGAGGGCCAUUCAAGUAAUAUCCUAUUCCAAGUUCGGACACGCAGACACAAUAGCAGAACAUAAGAAUAUAACGUGCAAAGCGUGUAACAAAAAGUUAGCAUCAAAACAAGUAGCCUUCUCUACCGUAGCCUAAAGUGCCAAGUGAACAUACAGGUAAUACUUCAUUUCUCACAAAAAGCAAUGAGGUAGAAGCCAUUUGCUAAACACCUGCCUUUCCCGAAUCCAUAUUGUCACGUUCACAUGACUCUCUAAGCCAAACAGAAGUGCAUAUUCAACGCAAACUGAACUUCUAGAGAAAGAGUGGCAAAUGAGCUGCAAUACCCUUGAUCAGGGCACAUACAUCCUACUGGACACCCAUCCCUUCCCCCUCUACUGCGGGGUAACUGGUUUCCCAGAUUGUCUGCCAGACGUCCAUAAACUAACAGUGUCUGAAAGUCCGCUUGGUAAACUACAGUUUACCAGUGCAUCCAUAUGUCCAUGAAUGGUCCUGUACCAUUAAUGUCAGCUCUUCUGGUCUACGUAACUCUUCCAUUUUUAUCAAACCAGACUGUCAAAGGUGGGGGCUCAUCAUUUUUUUUACAUAACAGGAGCAGUACCUGUUUUGCAGUGUUUAACCCCUUCCCGCCGUUACGGCUUUCUAUGCCGUCGCGGCGGCAUAGAACACCGUAACGGCUUUGAGCCCCAGGGGAUCGCAGCUACUUACCUCCGCUGCGAUCCUCUUCUGGUGGGCUGCCAGACCGCCCAGGCAGCCCUCCUCCGGCAAAUGAGGCCCCCGGGGGCCAUGUGAUCACUCUCAAAGAGCGAUCACAUGGCCCCCUAUAACUGGCUAUGGAUCUGCCAGCAGUGGGACUGUCUGAAAUAUCAGACAAUCCCCCUGCUGGUGGGAAGUGUAAAAAAAUAAAUAUGUGUAAAAAUAAAUCAAAUAUAUUUUUAUAUAUAUAAUAUAUGUGUAUAUAUAUAUAUAUAUAACGUCAUACGUAAUGUAUUUUAAUAUUAAGUAUAUAUUAAAAUACACUUAGAAUGACAUUACAUAUAUAUAAUAUGUGUGUGUGUGUAUAUAUAUAUAUAUAUGUAUAAUUACAAUAAUAAAUUAAAUAAAAUAAAUAAAAUAUUGAAACAAAAUUUAAUAUAAAUUAUAUAUUCAUAUGUAAUUUCAUUCUAACUGUAUUUUGUUUAUAUAUAUAUAUAUAUGCAACAAAAUACACUUAGAAUGACAUUCUAUAUCUCUCUCUAUAUAUAAAAAAUACAAAUAACCGCAAAUAAAUAUAUAUAGAUAAAUACAUAUAAUUACAUAAAAGAUUACAUUAGUAUACACGUAGAAUUUAAAUACCUAUAAAUGCAUAUAUAUAUUAAAAUUCUACGUGUAUAUUUAAGUAAUCUUUUAACAUAAUUAUGUGAUUUGAUUAAUUAAAAUUUGAUUGACAUGCCUGACAACACAGGGAGAAAGUGCAGAGAAUUUAAUUCGCAAGCACUAUAUUUGACCCUGUAACUCUCCAAGACUCCAUAAAACCUGUACAUAGGGGGUACUGUUUUACUCGGGAGACUUCGCUGAACUCAAAUAUUAGUGUUUCAAACUGGUAACUUGUAUUACAACGAUGAUAUUUUAAGUAGAAGUGAAGUUUUUUGCAUUUUUUACAAACGAACAUCAUGUUUAUGGACUAUAUUAUUGUUGUAAUAUGUUUUACUGUUUUAAAACACUAAUAUUUGUGUUAAGUGAAGUCUCCCGAGAAUAACAGUACCUGCCAUGUACAGGUUUUAUGGUAUUUUGGAAAGUUAGAGAGUCACAUAUAAAGCUUGCAUUUCAUUUUGUUGACAUUGAAAUUUGCCAGAUUGGUUAUGUUGCCUUUGAGACCGUAUAGUAGCCCAGGAAUAAGAAUUACCCCCAUGAUGGCAUACCAUUUGCAAAAGUAGACAACCCAAGGUAUUGCAAAUGGGGUAUGUCCAGUCAUUUUUAGUAGCCACUUAGUCACAAACACUGGCCAAAUAUUAGUUUUUUGCUUUUUUCACAAAAAAACAAAUAUGAACACUAACUUUGGCCAGUGUUUGUGACUAAGUGGCUACUAAAAAAGAUUAAACAUACCCCACGUUCAAUACCUUGGGUUGUCUACUUUUUCAAAUUGUAUGCCAUUAAGGGGGUAAUUCUCGUUCCUGGGCUACCACACCGUCUCAAAGGUAACAUUACUAAUCUGGCAAAUUUCAAUUUGAAAAUGGAACGUUCUAUAUUUGACCCUGUAACUUUCCAAAACACCAUAAAACCUGGUAAUGGGGGGUACUGUUGUACUCGUGAGACAUCGCUGAUUACAAAUAUGUGCAUUUUUUUGCAGUAAAACCAAACAGUGUUAUGACAUUUACAACUAAAAUGUGAGGCGGAACUAAAAAAUUUUUUUAAAAAAUUUAAAACUUCUGUUUUUUAAAUUUUAUUCAUAAUAAAUUGUUUCAUAUAUAAAUAUUUGAUAUGAAAUGAAAGCCCUGUUUCCCCUGAACAAAAUGAUAUAUAAUAAGUGUGGGUGCAUUUACUAUGAAAGAGUUGAAUUACGGUUGGACAGACAUGUAGCGCAAAUGCCAGGUUUUGUUUAAAUUUUGUUUUGUUCACAACGUGUACAUUUGGCUCCGUCCUUAAGGGGUUAAGAUCCUAACAGUUAGGGACUUCUUGUACCUGGCAGUGGGCGUAGUAGUGUGGUGUAAGAGAUAAGGAGCUGAAACAAAGGGGGGGGGGGGGCGGUUGUCUGAAAUCCUCCACAGAACCUCUCGAAUCAGUACCAAAAAGGCUUGAUCUUGGGGCAGUCCCACCAAAGAUGGAGAAAUGUGCCUGGGCGGGUGUGACACCUCCAACAUUCAUCAUUUAGUGUGGAGUCUAUGCGUUGCACGUUUUGUGGCAUCCAAUACCACAUGCACAAGUCCUUGUAUGCUGUCUUUUGUGUUUUACUGCUAUCAUGUUAGAUAACCGUUGUGUCUUACUGCGGAGAUCUUGCAAACAGGCAAUAUAGGAUUUGGUUCUUAUUUUGUUCAGGAUCCAAGCAAGUUUACCGUAUUUGUUGCUGUUAACAUAAAAUAAUGCCUUGGUAUGCUAUAGAGAGCGUUGGAGGUGGUGAAGAAGAGUGGCUCUUCAAUUCCACAAGUUCUUUGAAUGUGGACAGGUCUUGAUCAGAUUUGUGCUUCAGGUCUAGUGCAUGUAUCUGUCCCAGGAGGGCGAGAAUGUCAGCUUCCCUAUAUUUCUUCAGGGCAGGGCAAAGAUGAGUGGGUCAGUGAGGAUCGUCUUGUUAAGUCUCCAGUUAGUCAUCCAAAGUUUGAAAAGAGGGGAGGACACGGUCAUGUUCAGUCCAAGUCAUCACCCCUAUGUUUACUCUGGUAUCCUGAGAGAGGUAACAGUAUGGUACAAAAAAAGUAGUCAAGUCUUGAGUACUUAUCAUGAGGGAUAGAGUAAUGCGUGUACUCUCUGGUGGCAAGAUGAAAAGACUUCCAGCAGUCGGUAAGUAUGUAGUAGGCCCUUAACUCCUCAAAAGAUUGGUGCGGGAAUCCCCGAAGUGCCCGUUGAUGUGUCAAUGUGGGGGCACAUGAUGUUAAAGUCCCCUCCCAAGAUUAGAAAACCCACUGUGAACAACACCAGCCAUUUAAUUGCGUGCUGUAGUAACUGCCUUUGUCUUGGGGGCAUAAAUAUUGGCAAAUGUGUAACUCUAACCCAAAAUGAUCCCCUUACAAAUAUAACGACCUUCCUUGUCUACUAGUGUUUCUUUGUGUUAGAAUAGGAUUGAUUUGUCAAUAAGGAUUGCUGUCCCAUGAAAUUUACUCAGUAUUGUUCCUAUUAAAACCCUGUUGGUAAAUAUGAUUGGUCAGUUUCAGGGCAGUUGUUUUUCUAAAGUGGGUUUCUUGUACAUAAACAACAUGCACAUUCUUAGAUUUAAAAUCCCUAAGAACUUUUAUGGGAAGCUCCCACCCUACCUGAGCAGAAUG